rnacentral:rRNA from 1 species
CUAAUACAUGNCAGUCGAGCGAAUGGAUUAAGAGCUUGCUCUUAUAAAGUUAGCGGCGGACGGGUGAGUAACACGUGGGUAACCUGCCCAUAAGACUGGGAUAACUCCGGGAAACCGGGGCUAAUACCGGAUAACAUUUUGAACCGCAUGGUUCGAAAUUGAUAGGAGUCUUCCGCUGUCAUCUAUGGAUGGACCCCCGUCCCAUUA